GCCCACCAACCGUCCCAGUCUACUCCCACACCCCACCCACCCCCGAUCCAGAUCCUCUGAUCCACCUCGUCUCCUCUCCUCUAUCGGCCUCACUUCCACCUCCUCUCCUCUCCUCUGCCGCCAGGAUCCCCUCCCCGUUCUUCUCUGAUUGAUGUCGUCCCCGUCUCUUCCCCUCUCCGAUCCAUGGCGGGAUCCUCUGCCGUGUACACGUUCUGCAGGCCGCACGCGCGCGCAGCCUUCCUCCACCACCCGGCCGACCAGGCCCAUCGCGUCGACCAGCCCGGGCUGCUCCCCGCCACGGCGGGGUGGCGCGGUGACCCCGAGGGCGAGCCUAGUGGCGGCGCGGACGGCGAUGGAGGAGGCGGUGUACGAGGUGGUGCUGCGGCAGGCCGCGCUGGUGGAGGAUCUGCAGGGGCGCGGGGCGGCACGGGAGGCUGAGGCGGGCAGGCGUCGGUGGCGGGAUGAGCAGCUGGAGCAGAAGGGCAAUGUCGAGCUCGGCAUACAGGUAGUAGAAUUUUGCCAUGGAAUAAUUAAUGAUCCCUCAGAAAUAUGGAAAACAUGUAGUGGGAUUGGUGAUGAAUUACCAUUGUAUUUAGUCAAUAUCAUGCAAUCGGGGAUGUCAGCAAGGGAGACGUUGUUUCAUAUGGGCAGCACAACAGCCACAACGGUGUUGCCGUUCUCCACCAUGACUCUGUUCUGUUCCUCACGUGUACAUCGCUAGCACAUGGACGAUGUUUGGCUGCAACCCCUACUAUGGCUAGCAUAAGAGAAUAUCCAGAAACAAUCAAUCACACAAAUAAGAUGAGAGUGUAUCAGGCAUGUCCUCUUGAUUGCACAUUGGCGUCUGCCUGCAGAAGCUGCUUUUGCGCUGACGGGAUUGGGGUCGUGAUGGUACCUUCAAUUUGGAAUCUUGUUGUAGCAGGAGAGCGGAGCAGUUUGGAGAAAUUCAUGGUUAUUUACCGUUUCGAGUUAGAUUUAUUCCAUUUGAAAUGAGGGCAUAUAUACUUGAUUGGGUAUACGGAAUCUCAAUUUUGGCGCACAUGAUCUUACUAGCUUCUAAAUCCGCUCAGCUGUACUGAUGAUGGUGUGUUUGCUACUCACACAUUUUAUCCAAAGGAUCCUUGUGUCAAAGCGGUGGCCAGUUCUAGGUUGCUGGUAUGUAUUUUCACACCAUAUGUAUGCUUGUGCUUACCUCCAUAUGUAUGCUUGUGCUUACCCCCAUCCUCCUCGGCACAUUCAGUCAAAAUUUGACCAAAUACUGAAGAUGGUGAACUUGUGGGUGCUACGUGCCAUGCAUCUUGGCCAAUCUCAGGGAAAUAAUCAGUAAAGGCAGCAGUGUUUAGUUGUCCGCCACAGAGAUUCGUCGGCGAUAUUAAUUAGUAUAUCUCGGCCCAUUGUUCUUGCUAAUGAAGACUGUUACCAACAUUAA